ensembl:lncRNA
GCAUAACAUGUCUAAUUAAGUGGAAGGCAUCUGGGUAUCUAAUUAGAGUCCACUCAUUACAGACAGUGGACAGUGCAGUUCGCUUAGCCCAUCGCUGCUGCUACUGAAAAACUGAUUACUGGGAUUUAAGUUGGCUGAAGGCAACACCCUGCUGCUACCACUCUGACUGGAACAGGUUAAGCAAACGGUGGCCAGAUGAAAAAUCUUUCCUUAAUCGCACUCGACAACCGGUGACGACAGCACGAACUCAACAUUCCACGUGAGCCCUGUGGCGUCAAACCACUCAUUAAAAAAGGCCCGAAACCUUUUCGCCUGCUACCGUUUGUGCUAAAUCAAUGCCUGAGAAAAAAAGAGGGGGGGGGAGACGAUGCUCUGUUGCAGUGACGGACCGUUUCGCAACAAUCGCUGGAUUUUAACAACACAUCAUGUGUUUUGUUUUAGAGUAGAAACAUGCCUGGAAAUACAUGAAGUUUGACCGUUUCAUUAUGGGAUUCUUGAAAUUUAGGAAUGAGGAUGACGAAGAAGCAUGGUUUAGUAAAAAUUAACUGCUUUACUAGUGCUAUCAUGUUUAUAUUCAUUGUAUGGAGUGUACAGCAGUCAUUGCUUAAAGAGGGCUAGCAUGGUUUAACUAUUAUGCACAAGGUUACACAACUUCAAUUAUGAAGAAUAUGGUGUAUGCUUACUUGUGUAUGCUUAAAUAAAAUAUCUAAUAUUUUCAAAAUAGAGGUGUGUGUUUCACGGUUGCUGUGUGUUACGUUUCGGUGUUGUCAGUGUUUUGUUUUUGCGUGACUGUCAUGUGUUUCCUGUUUUACUUUGAAGGUCUGUUGUUAUCUUAGUGUGUUCAGUUUACGUUUCCUUGUCUCGUCAGGUCUAAUUUGCCCCAGCUGUGUUUCCCUCCUGUGGUCCAUUCCCUGAUUGCUCCUUCUAUGUAUUUAAGCCCUGUGUGUCAGUUGGUCAUGGUUGCGAUCUCCCCCGUGUUGUAAAUAGAUUUGUCGAUACUUUAGUUUUGGGAUUUUGGUGGAGAGCUGUAGUUUUUUUUUUCUUAUUUUUAUUUUCAUACGUUGCACGCCGGUUGCCUAGGCCGGGGUGUAACACUGUGGAGGAAUCAAAGUUUGACAAAGAGAUGUGUCCUGCUGAAAAAUGCAGCCGUCAACGUGGUUUUGGGCGAAUGCAUUUGCCGUCCAGUCAGCAGCUAAGAAAACGUGCAUGAAUUCGUAAUGGCUCAGAAAUCAAUGAGGCUUUAGCAGCGAAACGACAAAUCACUCGAAGCCUACUCGAGUCCAACAUUAGACUGCAUUUGCUUUCGCAUGUAUCAAUACGAGAGCGACCGCCGGCUCGACUGUUUGGCUGAGCAGGCGAAACGAGGCGGUGGGAUUUUAUAGCUGACUCGUUAUUUGUAGUCUGUUUUGACAAUUCCCAACACAGCUGCAGGAAAACUGAGGCACGUCAGGUAAACACAAAGCUGUGUUACUGCCUCCGAAGGAAAGAGGAGGGGAGGGAAAGUAUAACACACAAAAUAAAACACAGCUGGAAGGUGUGGAUCAGCGCGCCAAGUGCCCUGCAGUCUGCAG